rnacentral:rRNA from 1 species
GGAAGUAAAAGUCGUAACAAGGUCUCCGUUGGUGAACCAGCGGAGGGAUCAUUACCGAGUUUACAACUCCCAAACCCCUGUGAACAUACCUUAAUGUUGCCUCGGCGGAUCAGCCCGCGCCCCGUAAAACGGGACGGCCCGCCAGAGGACCCAAACUCUAAUGUUUCUUAUUGUAACUUCUGAGUAAAACAAACAAAUAAAUCAAAACUUUCAACAACGGGUCUCUUGGUUCUGGCAUCGAUGAAGAACGCAGCAAAAUGCGAUAAGUAAUGUGAAUUGCAGAAUUCAGUGAAUCAUCGAAUCUUUGAACGCACAUUGCGCCCGCUGGUAUUCCGGCGGGCAUGCCUGUUCGAGCGUCAUUUCAACCCUCAAGCCCCCGGGUUUGGUGUUGGGGAUCGGCUCUGCCCUUCUGGGCGGUGCCGCCCCCGAAAUACAUUGGCGGUCUCGCUGCAGCCUCCAUUGCGUAGUAGCUAACACCUCGCGACUGGAACGCGGCGCGGCCAUGCCGUAAAACCCCAACUUCUGAAUGUUGACCUCGGAUCAGGUAGGAAUACCCGCUGAACUUAAGCAUAUCAAUAAGCGGAGGA